ACCCAAGCAGCUAGCAUAACUUUAGAACUUAACACCCCCUAUUAAUAGGUCUGAAUAAAGAACUACUGCCAAGCCAAACCAUUUUACCACCUUAGUACGGGAGACGGAAAAGGGAUAUCACGCUAUACAAAUAGUACCGCAAGGGAACGCUGAAAGAGAAAUGAAACAGAUCAGUUAAGGCCGAUGAAGCAGAGACUAGCACUCGUACCUUUUGCAUCAUGAACUAGCCAGUAUCUUCAAGCGAAGAGCCCUAUACGUUUGAUACCCCGAAACUGGUGCGAGCUACUCCGAGACAGCCUGUUGUAGGGCAAACUCAUCUCUGUGGCAAAAGAGUGAGAAGAGCUCUGAGUAGAGGCGACAAACCUACCGAGCCCAGUUAUAGCUGGUUGCCAGGGAAUAGAAUAUGAGUUCAACCUUUUAGCUUCUCUCCCCCUCCCGUAAUGGAUCUUUUUCCGCUACCACCUCCUGACCCUGAGAAAACUAAAGGAGCUAUUCAAAAGGGGAACAGCCCUUUUGAACCAGGAUACAACCUUAUUAGUUGGGCAAAGACUAGAUAAGAUAAGGAAUACACCCUGGUGGGCCUAAGAGCAGCCACCCCUGUAGAUAGCGUUAAAGCCCAAGUGUACACCCCCUAUAAUUUUAGCCACUUCUAUGUUCUUAUCCUCCUUACCAUACCUGGCCCUUCUAUGUGCCCAUAGAAGAGAAACUGCUAACAUGAGUAACAAGGGAGCUAAUGACUCCCUCCCAGCUUCCGUGUAAUCAGAGCAGACCCUACCUGAAUAUUAACGCCCCGUAAGAAGGCCUUGAGACACAAUCCUAACAACUAGUCACCCCCUCAUGAUAAAGCGUUGACCCCACACUGGAGAGCCCGGGGAAAGACAUAAGGGGGAAAAAGGAACUCGGCAAACACUAGCCUCGCCUGUUUACCAAAAACAUCGCCUCUUGCAACCCUAAUAUAAGAGGUCCCGCCUGCCCAGUGAUAUUUAUUCAACGGCCGCGGUAUUUUGACCGUGCGAAGGUAGCGUAAUAACUUGUCUUUUAAAUUGAGACCUGUAUGAAAGGCAUUACGAGGGCUAUUCUGUCUCCUUACCCCAGUCAGUGAAAUUGAUUUGCCCGUGCAGAAGCGGGCAUGAUUACGUAAGACGAGAAGACCCUAUGGAGCUUAUAGGCGACUGAGUAGCCUAAGUCCAUUGUCCCUUAUUAGGGGGACUAAACAUGUUGAUAACUAACAGACUGCCUUUGGUUGGGGCGACCACGGGGAAACAGUAAACCUCCGAGCGGAAUGAAAAUUAUUCUUACCUCAAGCUAGGAUUACGAUCCUACCUCGCAGAAAUAUCUGACUUAAAGAUCCGGCAAUGCCGAUCGACGGACCAAGUUACCCUAGGGAUAACAGCGCAAUCCUCUUUUAGAGCCCAUAUCGACAAGGGGGUUUACGACCUCGAUGUUGGAUCAGGACAUCCUAUUGGCGCAGCCGCUACUAAGGGUUCGUUUGUUCAACGAUUAAAGUCCU
rnacentral:rRNA from 1 species